GGGGAGAAGCACCCCACUUGCUAUCCCAAGCAUCUCUGCAGCGCUUUCCUUACCAGUCCGCAUUGUGCCCUGGAGCCAGGAGCACCAUCAUGAAGUGGGAGUGUGAGGUGCGGGGGGCUCGGGCUUUGCUUUUGAGGAACUGUCAAGAGCACCCAGGUCUAAUGUUGUCUCUCUUUUGGCGAAGGAUCUGGGGGUGAAACUUUGGCCAGUGAACAGAAGAAAUUGCUGCGGAGUACUCCCCCCUCUACUAUUUUAAUCAAGGCCUCUCUGACUUCAGCUUUUUUAGGGUGCUUUUCUUUUAGGGUGCUGGGCUUGAAGAAGGCCCCUCUCAAAUUCUGUCCUCGAAGCAGCAGGCAUGGCAAGUGCUCUGGAGUCAGCUGGCUCUGAAGUUCUGGGGACAUCGUGAAGUCGUCAGAGUGCAGGUGACAUAUCUGUUUCUCAUCUCUUGCUAUAAAUCACCUGACUGGAAUAUGAAUUACUUUUGUGAUGGAGGAACCCUUGGAUAUGUGAAGCAAAGCUUCACUUUUUUGGGCUUAUUUUUAAAGGGGAGAAGUGCUGAUGUGUGCCAGAUGACAGUCACCUUGGAAUCACAUGCUUGCGUCUAUAACCGGCUUGCACACCUCUUGCUAAAUGUUUUCCUGUUUGUAGAAGCAUGUGGCUGUGUUGAAAGAAUUUCACAAGAGCGCUGGCCCAUUUCUCUUAGAGUCCUUCCCACACUUUAUUGCCUGCUUCUGCUGAUAAGAAAUGCCAAUGCAGUUUGGGUUGAAACUGCAUCAGAGAAGAGUCAAAGAGCUAAGUCCAGAGAGAGCUCCUUUAAAAAUAAAGUGUGACCUGGCCUUUACAGUCUAGGUACAUGCCACCCUCUUCACCUGAGGACUGAAUCCACAGAGUGCACCCCUCAGAGGUGGGGCAGAACUGAUGGAGAACCUGGACCAACCGCCCUCCCUCCUUGGGCCCCUCUCAGCAACCAUGAGGUCUACAUGGAAGUGUAACUCCAGGUCUUGUGGAAGUGAGAACUGCAGUGGUGGCCCCCGACUCUCCCCACCCCGCCCCACGUCUAUUUUGGGGCUUCUGCCUGGGGACUCCUCUCACCUAUCUGAAGGGCUGGCUUGAAGUGGACUCAUUCAGGACCUUUCUUUAUAGAACUCAGAGCCUUUGUUUGUAGCCUUAUCUUUGUCCUCAUGGCGUUAGAAGCAAAGAUACUUUCCAUUACAGUUUUCUAUAAUGUGCAUUCUGCUCCAAGCUCUGCGGUCAUUGGUACAAUUGCACUGAAUCCUGAUCUUGCUGCCAGAAUGCAGCCUGAGGCUGAAGACCUGGGACCAGGAAUGUCUGAUCUGGUGGGUGGACCCUGGCUCAGAUCUUACCUAAAUCACCAGAGAGGUAAAUUGAAGCAGAGACAAUAAUCAUGGCCAGCCUCACUCCCCCAUCCUACAGAAGGGGUGGGAACUGAAUUUUAAGCAGCUGGAAAGAUGUAAAGAGUAUAUAAAUUGCAUUUUUUUCAACUAUGAUUUUUUUUACUAUUCAUUCUGAGGUCCAGUUAGAACAUAAUGUGGAAUUUUAUUAGAGAAAAGCUGGCAUAACUUUGUAACCUGCUUCAACUCCUUCAGAUACAAUUGUGGUCAUAUCACUUUUAAAUUCCCAAAUAAUUUAUUGAGUGUAUGUAUGCCUCUAUAUACCUGCCUCUUGAGGGCACCCUCCAAAAUGUAUGUAAUCCUGGGAAUAAAGGGUUACUUAAUCCAACGAAGUUCAGUUAACUCUGCUUCUAAAUGUCAACCAGAGAGCUGCGCAAUCUCCCAUUGUUGUCUCUUACCACAUGGUGACAGUGUUGAAGGCGAACCUGCACAGCUCUGGGGACACUUCUACACUGUGUGUUGAUGUCCUGCGUCCUCCAUCUCUGCACCAGUUGGGGUGAUGGUCUACUGGUGGCCUUCUGGGGCACAGUCCUCCUCAUCCACACUGGGCUUAGCCAGCGUUUCCCUGGAUCAGGGCACAGUGCCGGGAGCCAAGCUCUGAGGAGUCACUAGCACAAGCUGUGCCACAGCAGUGCUGUCCAACAAGCUUAGGCCAUGUACUGAGCCCACGCCAGCAAAGAGAUUCCCAAGGACUUUCUGAAUUCCUCUUUGGGACCACUGAUAUCUUUUCUUACAGAUGUUGGGUCAGAACCACCACUGUACUUCCUGACCGGCCCUUAAUGUUGAAUGGCUGGCUCUGUCCCUUUUCUUUUCUCUCAAUGGACUCUGGGGCUUCUUUAACAGACCUCUUAGCCCCACCUUCAGCAGCCAGUUCCUCAUACCAGAGGGGAGAUGUUUGCCUUUGCUUGAAUACAAUAUGUUAAUUAGGUCCUAAAGGAGAGGCCCAAGCAAUGUUUCAUCAAAGGAAGAAGACCUCUUCUGAGGUGGAUUGCUAUUUUACCAGACAAAGACGGUGUCCAGGUCGCCUCUGUAGUGAAGGCACUUGCAUUUGAGGAUAGACUGGAGGCAGGGGCACAGACGGUGUCAAGGAGAGAAGCAUGGAGUGCAAGGCCUUAGCGAUCAUUCAGCCUCCAACCCGCACAGUGGCUCUGAACCUGGCCAGAUCUCAGGCGAGCUGCCUGGAGCACCAUCUGUGCGCUUGGUCACGCUCACGGCCUCGCUCCCUGAAGACUGGGAUGUGCAACUUGAAGAAAUGAGUCCAGAGGCAACUAUGGGCAGUGAAAAGAUCAGCAGGUGUGCAACCAGGUUACAGGAACAACGCUCGCAGUGCUAGUCAUGCAAACUGGGGAUAAUGCCACUGAAUCCAUAGAUAAUCUAUGGAUUAAAUAAUGCAGUGUAUGUGAAAACAUAUCUGACUCAUACGAGGUGGAACACGGCACUGGACCAUGACCCGGUCCAGGUGCUGGGUCUUAAAUUAUUCCAGUGUUGCCUUUUUUUCUCAUUUGAUUAAUGAAUGAAUAGUGGUAUGUUUGCCUCCCUCUGACCUCACUGACCUGGUAAAAGAAUUGUCUUCAGUCACAAGCAGUCCUCUUCUUCAGUCCAGGAACCCCCCCUUAGUGCACAGGACAGAGCGGUGUCCCCACGGGACCCAGACCUGAGGCGCUCUGUGAGCAAGGGCUCUGGAGUCUGACAACCUGGGGCACAGUCUUCCUGCCCCCCUCCUAGAGAGUCAUGGCCACAAAGGUUUCAAGAGGACGCACAGACAUACCGAAGCCUGGUGUUGGUUACCCUUAGGGGUGGGGUUGAUGUACAGAAGGUGGGAUUAUCUGUUUUUAUUUUAUAAACCUCUGUAGUGUUUGUUUACAAGGAGCAUGUCAUUUUUCAUCAGUUAAAUCCUAUAAAAUAAAAAUAAUUAAGAAAAGGAGACUGGAAAAAGGUUCUGAGAAGUCCUGCCAUGGGAAACCUAGGACUUCCCAAAUGUUUCUGAUCACACAAUCCUUCCCUGGGUCUCUGGAGCGUUCUCUGGGAAGUGCUCAUAACAUCCAUCUUUCAUGACUACAAACAUCUUAAAAUAAUUUAACUUCAAGAGGUAGCAGGGGUUAAAACAAAACCCGUAUGCCUCAUUUUACUAGAAAAUAAAGUGAAGCCCAAGAGGUUAGUAGGCCUGCCAAGGGUGGCAUGGCUCAGUGAAGGCAGAUGGGGGUGCUACCCCCUCCUUGACCAGGGAAGAGAAGCCUCUGGUGGCUGGCUCUUGGGGUCACGGCACCCUUACAUCACAACGUGGGACAUUAGCUGUGUAAACAGGUGAGUACUGGGAAGUCAGGACACCACCUCUGCUCUGUGUAUUGUGCUUCAGCAUUGAACACCUCAAGCUUUUCUAUAAAUAAAUGUUUUCAGGUCUGGGCUCAGGGACUUCUGUCACCACCCUGGGGGGUACGAAUUCAGUGUCCCCAUGCUCUCCCCCAAUACUGCAUGCUCCACCAGGAGAGGGCCUGGCGAGGGCUGACCUGCAUGUUAGUUUGUGUCGCAGCUGCCAUUGUGAGUUCCUGCUUCCUUGACAUGCCUCCACAUGGCUUCCCAGAGACUUUAGAGAUGCUGGAUGGGAUGAGGAGGCACAGAACUGACUGGCUGUGAGCAUGCCGCACUAAGCCCACUAGGACACUUCCUGGGGAACUGUUGUGGGCAUCGUCCGGCUUCUACCAAAUGGGAAAGCUGCUGGACCCCCAGCACUCCAGGCCACUGCAAAGGCUAGGCUUCUGCCUCCGUCCAAGUCCCAGGGUUUCAGGAUGACUUUGAAGUUCAUUCUUUCAAGGACAGAAGGGAAUUCCUACUAGUCCACUGACAGUAAAGUUCAUGACAGAGAACUUCAUCUGCAUGCCAUUACUGUAUUUUUGGGUGUUCUUGGAGAUUUUAUUCUGUUUACUCUGAAAGAAAAUCUGUUGAACACAAAUGUUCUGUUUCUAAUACAAUUUUGGAGCAUUAUAUGCAUCUGUUGUGGAGUGCAUUGUACUGGUGCCGAGAAUAAAGGGACCGAGGGCAAGGCGGUCUGUGCCCUUGAGCUUGGGCCUCAUGGAGAGAGGGGCCAUGGUAAGAGGUGCGUCAGGGCUUCGGGAGCGAUGGGCGGGA